rnacentral:rRNA from 1 species
CAGAGGGUGCGAGCGUUGUUCGGAAUUACUGGGCGUAAAGCGCGCGCAGGCGGCCCUUUAAGUCUACCCGUGAAAUGCCGGAGCUCAACUCCGCGCACGCCGGGGGAUACUGGGGGGCUGGAGACAUGUAGAGGCAAGCGGAAUUCCGGGUGUAGCGGUGGAAUGCGUAGAGAUCCGGAAGAACACCUGAGGCGAAGGCGGCUUGCUGGGCAUGAUCUGACGCUGAGGCGCGAAAGCGUGGGGAGCAAACAGGAUUAGAUACCCUGGUAGUCCACGCCGUAAACGAUGGGCACUAGACGCGGGUGGGAUCGACCCCUUCCGUGUCGCAGCUAACGCGAUAAGUGCCCCGCCUGGGGAGUACGGCCGCAAGGCUG